rnacentral:rRNA from 1 species
CUGGCUCAGAUUGAACGCUGGCGGCAGGCCUAACACAUGCAAGUCGAACGGUAACAGGAAGAAGCUUGCUUCUUGCUGACGAGUGGCGGACGGGUGAGUAAUGUCUGGGAAACUGCCUGAUGGAGGGGGAUAACUACUGGAAACGGUAGCUAAUACCGCAUAACGUCGCAAGACCAAAGAGGGGGACCUUCGGGCCUCUUGCCAUCGGAUGUGCCCAGAUGGGAUUAGCUUGUUGGUGGGGUAACGGCUCACCAAGGCGACGAUCCCUAGCUGGUCUGAGAGGAUGACCAGCCACACUGGAACUGAGACACGGUCCAGACUCCUACGGGAGGCAGCAGUGGGGAAUAUUGCACAAUGGGCGCAAGCCUGAUGCAGCCAUGCCGCCGUGUAUGAAGAAGGCCUUCGGGUUGUAAAGUACUUCAGCGGGGAGGAAGGGAGUAAAGUUAAUACCUUUGCUCAUUGACGUUACCCGCAGAAGAAGCACCGGCUAACUCCGUGCCAGCAGCGGC